GGUGAGAUGGCUCAAUGGGUAAGAGCACCGGACUGUUCUUCCGAAGGUCUGGAGUUCAAAUCCCAGCAACCA
rfam:Mus musculus chromosome 7, GRC primary reference assembly.